CCCCCCGGCCGCGCCGUCGGGGAGGUGGAGCAUGAGCGCGUGCGAUAGGACCUGAAAGAUGGUGAACUAUACCUGGGCAGGGCGAAGCCAGAGGAAACUCUGGUGGAGGCCCGCAGCGGUCCUGACAUGCAAAUUGGUCGUCCGACCUGGGUAUAGGGGCGAAAGACUAAUCGAACCAUCUAGUAGCUGUUUCCCUCCGAAGUUUCCCUCAGGAUAGCGCGGCCCCCUCCCCA